AACCAUAGAAACCUGCGGAGUACCUGCGGAAGGAUCAUUACAGAGUUCGUGCCCUCGCGGGUAGAUCUCCCACCCUUGUGUAUUUUCUACAUCUUGUUGCUUUGGCAGGCCGUUGGUUCGCCAACCACCGGCUCGCGGGCUGGUGCGUGCCUGCCAGAGGACCUCUCAAACUCGGUUUGUUAGUGUCGUCUGAGUACCAUAACAAUCGUUAAAACUUUUAGCAAUGGAUCUCAGAUCGGA
rnacentral:misc_RNA from 1 species